rnacentral:lncRNA from 1 species
CCAAACUUUAAUUCCAAGCAUUUCGUGACUUGCUCCUGCCCUUUCUGCAGACAUGCGAAAAGAAGCACAAUUACCACUGACGACGUGAAGCUCUUAUUGAGGCGGAGUAAUUCACUGCUAAAGUACAUUACAGAGAAGAACAAAGAGAUCGCACAGCUUAACCUGGAACAAAAGGCCAAGAAGAAAAGGAAGUCGGAGGAUGAAGGCAGGAGCUCUAGGGAGCCCGGGGCUGAAGAGCUGGGCGAUGAAAGUUAAGUCCUGGCCGCUUGGAAAGGAAGCCUUCAGCGGGAAGCGGCGUGCACGCCGGGAGGUCUCUGAGGGGAUGAGGACGGACGUUUGAAGAAAGUACUGAGUGGAGGGCAGCUGUUUGUCUGCCUGUUUGAAGUCACUCCAAGAGCUGGGAAUUCUGGCCACCCCCAGACUUCACCUGCACAGGAAAGGCUUGCGCUCUGGAGGCACGCUGUGACUUAGUGACUGGUAAAAUACCUUAGCAAUCAGACUUAGCAAACAGCGCUGGCUGUUGGGGGCUGGCUGUUGGGGGCGAGCUAAGGCCAAACGCAGGUCUCUGAAGGCUGAAUAAAGUUGUGUUUGCUGGGC